UUCCUGCGGAGGCUGAGUGGACCCGGAGCUGAGGCGAGGGGGAAUCUGAGAGAAUGUGAGGCCAGCGACAUGGAAAAGGAAGGUGGGAAGCCCGCGGCCGUGGUCGCAGUGGUCGCGGAGCCGCGGUUUGCCCAGCGAUGCCGGGAAUACCUGGAGAAGGAGAAACUCCUGGACAGACAGCACCGCGCGGAGAAGAUGCCGGAUGGCACCGUGGCGCUGCCCGUGCUGGGAGAGGCGCUCCCCGAGCGGCACCUGUGGCAGCUGAGGAGUUGUGUGGCUCCCGGCAGCACCUGUACACUGACGCAGCUCCUGGCCCCUGUUCCUUCACGGAAGGCCCGGGCUUGUUCACCGGCCCAACGGCUACGCCUUGAGGUGAGUCGCUGGGUCGAGGCCCGGGGAGUGACAUGGUCCGCUGAGUUGGAGGCCGAUUUACCCCGAACCUGGCAACGACACGGUAACCUCUUGUUGCUGAGUGAGAACUGUUUCCAGGCUGAGCAGUGGGAAAAUCUGGAACCAGAACUCUGGGAGAUUGUGGCCUCGGCCCUUGGCGUCCAGCGUUUGGCCAAACGAGGGCGGGUAUCACCUGAUGGCACUCGAACGCCAGCCGUGACUCUGCUGCUGGGCGACGAUGGCUGGGUUGAGCAUGUGGAUAAUGGGAUCCGAUAUAAGUUUGACAUAACCCAGUGCAUGUUCUCCUUCGGGAACAUCACUGAGAAGCUUCGAGUGGCAUCGCUGCCCUGUGCGGGACAAGUGCUGGUGGAUCUCUAUGCAGGCAUUGGUUAUUUCACAUUGCCAUUCCUAGUUCACGCCGGUGCUGCCUUCGUCCAUGCCUGUGAGUGGAACCCCCAUGCUGUAGUUGCUCUGAAACGUAACCUUGAGAUCAAUGGAGUAGCAGAUCGGUGCCAAAUACACUUUGGAGACAACAGAAAGUUGAACCUCUCAAACAUUGCAGACCGGGUGAACCUGGGGCUGAUUCCAAGCUCUGAAGAAGGCUGGCGGACUGCCUGCCGGGUGCUACGAAAGGAUGCUGGGGGCAUUUUGCAUAUCCACCAAAACGUGGAAUCUUUCCCAGGGAGGAAUCUCCAGCCUUCUGGAAACAGUGAAAUGGAGAAGGAGCAUUGGCUUUGUCCUCAGCAAAUUAUCAGUAACCAAUGGGAAAAUGGAGCUAGUGGGGAUUCUAGGAGAAACGUGCUGUCAGCAGCCAUCAAGCCAGAGUGGCACAGGUGGGCGGAGUCUGCAGAAACUCGAAUUGUCACUCUUCUUCAGCAGGUGCAUGGGAAACCGUGGAAGACACAAAUCUUGCACAUCCAACCAGUGAAAUCCUAUGCACCCCAUGUGGAUCACAUAGUCCUGGAUCUAGAAUGCCGGCCCUGUCCUCUGGUUGGCUAGAGAAGGUGGAUCCAGAGACAUGAACGUCUACGUGUGAGUGAACCUUAAUGCAUCAGCUCAGGCCAGCUUCUCACCCCUCUUGUUUCCGGUAAUCUAUUUUAAUAUAGUAUUUUGUGGCCCUGCAAGCAGACUCUAGACCAGUCCAUCCUAGGAGAAGCAGUAUGACUCACUGAAAUGAGGCCCAUCAGUGCAGUCAUGAAUUCCGAAUCCUGACCUCGGUUCUGUCUGACCGGGGGUACAUGGUUUCAGUAUUCUUUUGGCAUUGGAUUUCCUUAUUUACAAAAUAAGGGUUUCUUUGAAUUAUCUUACAUGGCUUUUAUUUAAUGAGCAGUUGUACACAGGAUGUUGGUUAUCAGAGUGAAAGGCAGUGCUGUUUUCAAAAUCACUCUGGUUACAAUAUGGAAAAUCAACUGGAAGGUGUCCAGGAUGGAAGCAGACCAGUGAGAAGGUUUCUGUAGUUGUCCAGGCAUGAGGUGAUGGUGGCUUCUAGUUGGUGGCAGUGGGAGGUGGAUGCAUUUGAGAAAUAAAAUCAAUGUGACUAAACAAUGGAGUCUAUAUCAAGACAUUAAAAUGGUGCUGCUUUAUUAUUAUCACUGACAAAAUAGGGAGGGAAGAGGACAAAAAUUAGUGUAUUAAUUCUACUUAGGCAUACCUAAAUGAGUGUUGGGAGGAGGGUGAUGUCUUCAAUAUUGGGCUUAUUGUGGUAGAAAAGUGGAUAAAAUGACUGCUUUAAAUCAGAGGGAAACUAGACUUUCAGUCUUAAGCUGUGCAAUAGCUGCCAAUUACUAGCGGGGUUUUUUGUGUUUUUUUUAAUCCUCACUCGAGCAUAUGCUUAUUGAUUAGAGAGAGGGGAAGGAAGAGAGAGCAUGAGAGAAACAUGGAUGCAAGAGAGAACAUUGAUUGGCUGCCUUCCACAUGUCCCUUGACCAGUGAUCGAACCAGCAUUCUAAGUAUGUGCCCUUCCCUGGACUCAAACCCGAAAACUCGUAUAUGGAUGGCGCUCCAACCAACUGAGCCAUACCAGCCAGGGCUUGCUAGCUAUUUUAAAAGUUCGAAUUAAAACCUUAAAUUUUUAAAGGGCUCCGACUCACUUUUCAUCUUCCUUCCCUGGCCAACAACAUCAGGACCAGCGGAAGGAGCUGUAGGGAAUGUGAGGUGUUCUGCAGUUUUUCAAGCCUUACUUUAUUUUAUGUCUGUCUGCCAUCACCAAUGUUUACCCUUUGGAUGACUAAUUAUAGGGAAUCACUCUGUUUACCUUUAGGAUGACUAAUGGUGGAGAAUCACUCCUCAGAGCCUUAUUUUGGUGCACUUUGAAGCCUGGACUUGUUUAUCUGAUAGAGGACAUAGAUAACAGCAUGUGGCUUUAUCAGGAUUAUGAUUGUACCUGGCCUUUGGUUAGCUGGGGUUGGGCUGGCUGCUUGUCCUUUUUGCAACAGUGGCUGUAAACCAGACAGGAUUGGUGCUGUUUGUGUUAUCCGCUAAAUAUUGUGAGUACUAUAUACGUGGGCCACAGGAAAUGUAUUCACUAGACACAGUUCCUGUCUCUGAGGAGCUCACACCCUAGCAGCUGAUACACAAAUACUCAAAAGAAUUUGAAGAUGAUGAAGAUGUUAAAAUCGGCUUGUCAAUUUUUGGAAAAAAGAAUCUGCUGAGAUUUUCUUGUUGGGAUUACAUUGGACCUAUAGGGUAAAAUUGGCAUUGUUACAAUAUUGAAUCUUCCAUUUUGAAGUUUUUAUUCUACUCAUUUGGGUGUAGCUAUGAAAUGAGAAAUGAUUUUUGAAAAAAUGAAAGGUGAUUAUCAGAAGCUGGGACUACAGUAUCCCAUCUAAGAUGAAGGGUCCUAUACUUCCCAUGUCAGUGGGAUACUAUAUCCAUC